UUUAGAUUGGAAAAAACCCCUAAACCAUUGUGAACGUUACCUAUACCCCCUGCUUCGGCGGGCGGCCCCGGGGUUAAAAAAAAGGGGCGCCCCUGGGCCCCACCGCGGGCGCCCGCCGGAGGUCACCAAACUCUUGAUAAUUUAUGGCCUCUCUGAGUCUUCUGUACUGAAUAAGUCAAAACUUUCAACAACGGAUCUCUUGGUUCUGGCAUCGAUGAAGAACGCAGCGAAAUGCGAUAAGUAAUGUGAAUUGCAGAAUUCAGUGAAUCAUCGAAUCUUUGAACGCACAUUGCGCCCGCCAGCAUUCUGGCGGGCAUGCCUGUUCGAGCGUCAUUUCAACCAUCAAGCCCCCGGGCUUGUGUUGGGGACCUGCGGCUGCCGCAGGCCCUGAAAAGCAGUGGCGGGCUCGCUGUCGCACCGAGCGUAGUAGCAUACAUCUCGCUCUGGUCGCGCCGCGGGUUCCGGCCGUUAAACCACCUUUUAACCCAAGGUUUGACCUCGGAUCAGGUAGGAAAGACCCCGCUGAACUUAAGCAUAUCAAUAAGCGGAGGAA
rnacentral:rRNA from 1 species